CAGGUCUCGGAAGGGGGCGGCUCGGGCCGAGGCUCCUUCCGGGCUCGGCCUCCCUCUCCCCGCUGUGAGCGCCCGCUUCUGGACCGCCUUCCUUCAUUCACUCAUUAUUCACUGAUUCACGCAUUCUGGGGUCCUUGCCACCCGCUCUAAGCCGCUGGCCCCGCCGGAGCCGGGCACAGACGCUCCCAACUCUGUGCAGUCAGGCCCGAGUGGGAUGAGGAACAGGAGAGGGGCACUUACCUGAGGGGAGGAAGGAAAGGCUGCCUGGAGGAGGCGGCCUUGGAGCUGAACCCUGCAAGGAUGUGCUCCAAUCCACGGAAGCCUCCUGUGCUAGACCCCGGGCCGCCUGAUCAGCAGAGUUGCAGACUCUGGACUUCCUGCCUAGAAGAACGUGUGACCAGUUUCCUUGGCUGCUCCUUGUGAUGUGGAGCUCGGCACCUCCUAGACCAGAUUUCAGCAGAAAAUCCUUUCUCAGAUGGGUCAGGGGAAAAGCAUGCCCCUCCUGAAGCCCCUACCUUUGUACUGGACUCCCAGACCCUUUUCUGGACCCCCAGACCCCUAACCCUGGUGGUCUAGUGGUUCAGAUUCAGCGCUCUCACCCCCAUGGCCUGGGUUUGUUUCCCAGUCAGGGAACCACAUCACUCCUCUGGUCUGCCGGUUGUCAUACAGUGGUGGCUGUGUGUUGCUGUGAUGCUGAAAGCUCUGCCACUGGGAUCUCAAGUCCCAGCAGGUUCCCCAUGGCGGACAGGUUUCAGUGGAGCUUCCAGACUAAGACCAGGAAGAAGGACCUCGGCACCCAUUUCCGAAAAAAUUGGUCACGAAAUCCCUGUGAAUAGCAGCAGAGCAUUGUCUGGUACAGGGCUGGAAGGGGAGCGGGUCAUGUAAAAAGACAGAGCAGGGUUCCGCUCCACUGUGCACAGGGUCCCUAGGAGUUGGAAGUGACUUAACAGCACUAACAACAACAGAGGCCCCCAGAAUGGCACUGAAGAGAGUGGUCCUGGUCCCCUGUGGCCGCUCUUCUGAGCUAGGCAUCCCAACUCCUUCAGCCACUUCCUGAGUCACCAGACCCUCCCAUGUCACCCUCUCUGUGCCCACCCUAUGCUUCGUGAUGCCUGGUCCCCAGGGAGCCCCCAGUCUUGAGAGGGAAACAGGGCAGGACAGAGACACCCCCAGCCUGUUAUGGACGAGGCUGAGCCAGAGGGCAGAGAGGGCUGCCUGGAGUUGCUACCUUGCAGAAUGUACGGGCACUCACUAGGUACAGGAGUAGGGGGAGGGGAGGCAUGCUAGAAAGAGGGAGCAGCAGGGCACAGGGGUGGCAGAUGUGGGAAAGAGCAGAGCAUUCCCUAUAACUAGAAGAAAGUGCAUUUUUGAAGAGAACACAUUUGCUGUGAGUUCCUGCUUGGGGAGGAAGCAGAAGGAUCCUUUUAACCAGCUGGGUGUCCUGGGCCGCAGGAAGAACCCGAGCAAAGGCCGUGAGAAGGCAGAG
rnacentral:lncRNA from 1 species